rnacentral:rRNA from 1 species
AUGGCAUCUUCCAAGAGUAGUCUUGCAUUGUUCACCCUGGCCAUGGCCAUGGCCGUGGUAGCCAAUGUCUCGUCGCAGAACACCCCGCAGGACUACAUCAACCUGCACAAUCGCGCCCGUGCAGCGGACGGCGUCGGCCCUGUGGUGUGGAACAACAACGUGGCCAAGUUCGCACAGGACUACGCGGCGGAGCGCCGCGCCGACUGCCGGCUGGUGCACUCCGGUGGGCGGUUCGGGGAGAACAUCUACUGGGGGUCCUCGCAGCGGAUGACCGCAGCCAACGCGGUGAACAGUUGGGUAUCUGAGAAGCAGAACUACCAUCGCGGCAGCAAUACCUGCGACACGGGCAAGGUUUGCGGGCACUACACACAGGUGGUGUGGCGCAGGUCGACCCGCAUCGGUUGCGCCCGCGUGAUCUGUGAUAGGAACCGGGGCGUCUUCAUCAUCUGCAGCUACGAUCCCCCGGGCAACGUCCGAGGCCGGGGCCCUUUCCUCGCCAAGUAG